AAAUCACUGGCCCUCCAGAGGUCCUCAACGGCAUAAGAAGACUCAGUGUCAAGGACUUCAUCAUCAAAGCCCUGUGCCGGCUAGCUUCCAGGUGUAUUGAGUCAAUGGAGAAUCUGGCAGAUUGGAGGAAGGAGAAGGUCAUGAUCAUCUGGCAAUUAAAGAAAUGGCCAGACUGCCUCCCACUCUGAGGACCCUUGGCCACCUGACAAGGAAUUCCAGAGACCACAGUAGUCAGUGCUGGCAAGAUUCCAGAGCCCAGAAGA